ensembl:snRNA RNU6-606P RNA, U6 small nuclear 606, pseudogene
GUACUCACUUCUGCAGCACAUAUACUAAAAAUUGGGAUGAUAAUAGAGAAAAGAUCAAUAUGACCCCUGCUCAAGGAUGACAUGCAAAUUUGUGAAGCAUUCCAUAUUUUU